UGACCUUGGAGAAACCCAUGCAGAGGGAA
rnacentral:piRNA from 1 species